GUACUCACUUGGGCAGCACAUACACUAAAAUUAGAAUGAUACAGAGAAGAUUAGUAUGACCCUGCACAAGGAUGACACGCAAAUUUGUGAAGUGUUCCAUAUUUUU
ensembl:snRNA U6 U6 spliceosomal RNA